AUGAACGCUAGCUACAGGCUUAACACAUGCAAGUCGAGGGGCAGCAUGAACUUAGCUUGCUAAGUUUGAUGGCGACCGGCGCACGGGUGAGUAACACGUAUCCAACCUGCCGAUGACUCGGGGAUAGCCUUUCGAAAGAAAGAUUAAUACCCGAUGGCAUAGUUCUUCCGCAUGGUAGAACUAUUAAAGAAUUUCGGUCAUCGAUGGGGAUGCGUUCCAUUAGGUUGUUGGCGGGGUAACGGCCCACCAAGCCUUCGAUGGAUAGGGGUUCUGAGAGGAAGGUCCCCCACAUUGGAACUGAGACACGGUCCAAACUCCUACGGGAGGCAGCAGUGAGGAAUAUUGGUCAAUGGACGAGAGUCUGAACCAGCCAAGUAGCGUGAAGGAUGACUGCCCUAUGGGUUGUAAACUUCUUUUAUACGGGAAUAAAGUGAGGCACGUGUGCCUUUUUGUAUGUACCGUAUGAAUAAGGAUCGGCUAACUCCGUGCCAGCAGCCGCGGUAAUACGGAGGAUCCGAGCGUUAUCCGGAUUUAUUGGGUUUAAAGGGAGCGUAGGCGGACGCUUAAGUCAGUUGUGAAAGUUUGCGGCUCAACCGUAAAAUUGCAGUUGAUACUGGGUGUCUUGAGUACAGUAGAGGCAGGCGGAAUUCGUGGUGUAGCGGUGAAAUGCUUAGAUAUCACGAAGAACUCCGAUUGCGAAGGCAGCCUGCUGGACUGUAACUGACGCUGAUGCUCGAAAGUGUGGGUAUCAAACAGGAUUAGAUACCCUGGUAGUCCACACAGUAAACGAUGAAUACUCGCUGUUUGCGAUAUACAGUAAGCGGCCAAGCGAAAGCGUUAAGUAUUCCACCUGGGGAGUACGCCGGCAACGGUGAAACUCAAAGGAAUUGACGGGGGCCCGCACAAGCAGUGGAUUAUGUGGUUUAAUUCGAAGCAACGCGAAGAACCUUACCAAGUCUUGACAUCCCUUGACGAACAUAGAAAUAUGUUUUCUCUUCGGAGCAAGGAGACAGGUGGUGCAUGGUUGUCGUCAGCUCGUGCCGUGAGGUGUCGGCUUAAGUGCCAUAACGAGCGCAACCCUUAUCGAUAGUUACCAUCAGGUUAUGCUGGGGACUCUGUCGAGACUGCCGUCGUAAGAUGUGAGGAAGGUGGGGAUGACGUCAAAUCAGCACGGCCCUUACGUCCGGGGCUACACACGUGUUACAAUGGGGGGUACAGAAGGCAGCUACACGGCGACGUGAUGCUAAUCCCGAAAGCCUCUCUCAGUUCGGAUUGGAGUCUGCAACCCGACUCCAUGAAGCUGGAUUCGCUAGUAAUCGCGCAUCAGCCAUGGCGCGGUGAAUACGUUCCCGGGCCUUGUACACACCGCCCGUCACACCACGAGAGUUUGUAACACCCGAAGUCGGUGAGGUAACCUUUUGGAGCCAGCCGCCUAAGGUGGGAUAGAUGAUUGGGGUG
rnacentral:rRNA from 1 species